rnacentral:rRNA from 1 species
UACAGAGGGUGCGAGCGUUAAUCGGAAUUACUGGGCGUAAAGCGCGCGUAGGCGGCUUUUCAAGUCGAUUGUGAAAUCCCCGGGCUCAACCUGGGAACUGCAGUCGAGACUGUCUAGCUAGAGUAUGGGAGAGGGAAGUGGAAUUUCAGGUGUAGCGGUGAAAUGCGUAGAUAUCUGAAGGAACAUCAGUGGCGAAAAGCG